UCGCGGGAGGCGCUGGGCGCCAGAGCUGGCGCGCUCUCCCGGGCGCACACACACACACAUCCACGCACGCACGCCCAGAGCAGCUCUCUCCGCGCCCGGCCCUCGCUCCCCUCGCCCAUGCAGACGGACAGAGGGACGGAAGAUGGCUGACGACUCCACGGGGCCCCGAGGAUGCAGCCGGGCGGCGGCGGCGGUGGCCGGAGCGGCGGAAGGAGCGUCGGCAGGGGCAGCGGCGGCAGCGGCGGCGUUGGCGGCGGCGGCGGCGGCAGCGGGAGCUGGAGCGGCGGCGGCGGCAUCCCCGAGACUCCGCGAGCUACCUUUCCCUGUGACAGCUGCUGACGUUCUCUGCCGCUAGAAGAGACCCCGCUUCUCCGGCGCCCGCCUGCCACCCCCCCACCAGCCCCAGCCCCUCCAGCACCGCUACCUCCGCCAGCGUUGCCACCAUCAGCACCACCUCCACCACCACCACCGCCACCACCACCACCACCGCCGCCGGCGGCAGCAGCCAUUUCAUCUCCACAGAAACCAGACACAAAAACAUGGCAGAAAUGGAGAAAGAAGGGAGACCUCCGGAAAAUAAGAGGAGCAGGAAACCGGCUCACCCAGUGAAAAGGGAGAUCAAUGAGGAAAUGAAGAACUUUGCAGAAAACACCAUGAAUGAACUCCUUGGCUGGUAUGGCUAUGAUAAGGUUGAAUUGAAAGAUGGUGAAGAUAUUGAAUUCAGGAGCUACCCUACAGAUGGAGAGAGCCGGCAGCACAUUUCUGUUCUCAAAGAAAAUUCUUUGCCAAAACCAAAAUUACCUGAGGACAGUGUUAUUUCACCAUACAAUAUAAGCACAGGCUAUUCAGGGCUUGCCACCGGAAAUGGACUCAGUGACUCACCUGCAGGGUCAAAGGAUCAUGGCAAUGUGCCCAUUAUUGUACCUUUAAUUCCGCCUCCUUUCAUAAAACCACCAGCAGAAGAUGAUGUGUCAAAUGUACAAAUAAUGUGUGCCUGGUGCCAGAAAGUGGGAAUCAAGCGCUAUUCCCUGAGUAUGGGAAGUGAGGUGAAAAGCUUCUGCAGCGAGAAGUGCUUUGCGGCCUGCCGACGAGCCUACUUCAAGAGAAAUAAGGCUAGAGAUGAAGAUGGACAUGCUGAAAAUUUCCCCCAGCAGCACUAUGCUAAGGAAACUCCAAGGCUUGCCUUCAAGAAUAACUGCGAACUACUUGUGUGCGACUGGUGCAAGCACAUAAGACACACAAAAGAGUAUCUGGAUUUUGGGGACGGGGAAAGGCGGCUUCAGUUCUGCAGUGCAAAAUGUCUCAAUCAAUACAAAAUGGACAUUUUCUACAAAGAGACACAGGCCAACCUUCCAGCUGGGCUGUGCAGCACAUUACACCCUCCCAUGGAAAAUAAAGCAGAAGGCACCGGGGUGCAGCUGCUCACUCCAGACUCUUGGAAUAUUCCUCUAACAGAUGCUCGGAGGAAGGCCCCCUCCCCGGUGGCUGCAGCUGGCCAAAGCCAGGGCCCUGGCCCAUCGGCGUCCACCACCGUCUCUCCAUCUGACACUGCCAACUGCUCUGUCACUAAGAUCCCCACGCCAGUGCCCAAGUCCAUGCCCAUCAGCGAGACUGCGAACAUCCCGCCGGUCUCGGUCCAGCCACCUGCCAGCAUCGGGCCUCCCCUCGGCGUCCCGCCCCGCAGCCCUCCCAUGGUGAUGACCAACCGCGGCCCGGUGCCGCUGCCCAUCUUUAUGGAACAACAGAUCAUGCAGCAGAUCCGCCCGCCCUUCAUUCGCGGCCCUCCCCACCACGCCUCCAACCCCAACAGCCCACUGUCCAACCCCAUGCUUCCAGGCAUCGGUCCCCCGCCCGGCGGCCCCAGGAACCUGGGCCCCACUUCCAGUCCCAUGCACCGGCCCAUGCUAUCACCCCACAUCCACCCCCCAAGCACCCCUACCAUGCCCGGGAAUCCCCCGGGCCUGCUGCCCCCGCCACCUCCGGGCGCGCCCUUGCCAAGUCUCCCGUUUCCGCCAGUGAGCAUGAUGCCAAAUGGCCCAAUGCCUGUGCCCCAAAUGAUGAAUUUCGGGCUGCCGUCGCUUGCCCCGCUGGUGCCGCCCCCCACCUUGCUCGUGCCAUACCCGGUGAUCGUGCCCCUGCCCGUGCCCAUCCCCAUCCCUAUUCCCAUCCCUCACGUCAAUGAUUCCAAGCCCCCCAACGGAUUUUCCAGCAACGGGGAGAACUUCAUUCCGAGCGCCCCUGGCGAUUCCUCGGCAGCAGGAGGCAAGCCAGGCGGACACUCCCUGUCCCCCCGGGACUCCAAGCAGGGCUCGUCCAAGUCCGCGGACUCACCGCCUGGCUGCUCCGGCCAGGCCCUGAGCCUGGCGCCCGCGCCCGCGGAGCACGGCCGAGGCGAGGUGGUGGACCUGACGCGGCGCUCCGGCAGCCCCCCGGGAGCAGGCGACCAGCUCGGCUUCCACGGCGUGCUGCAAGGCCCGCAGGACGGCGUCAUCGACCUGACCGUGGGCCACCGGGCCCGGCUGCACAACGUGAUCCACCGCGCGCUGCACGCGCACGUCAAGGCGGAGCGCGAGCCGGGCGCCGCGGAGCGCAGGACCUGCGGGGGCUGCAGGGACGGCCACUGCAGCCCCCCCGCCGCCGGCGACCCGGGCCCGGGCGCCCCUGCCGGCCCCGAGGCCGCGGCGGCCUGCAACGUCAUCGUGAACGGCACGCGCGGCGCCGCGGCCGAGGGCUCCAAGAGCGCGGAGCCCCCGCCCGAGCAGCCCCCGCCGCCGCCCGCGCCCUCUAAGAAGCUGCUGUCGCCGGAAGAGCCCGCAGUGAGCGAGCUGGAGUCCGUCAAGGAGAACAACUGUGCUUCCAACUGCCACCUGGAUGGGGAGGCGGCCAAAAAGCUGAUGGAGGAGGAGGCCCUGGCGGGGGGCGACAAGUCAGACCCGAACCUUAAUAACCCCGCGGACGAGGACCACGCCUACGCUCUGCGGAUGCUGCCCAAGACGGGCUGCGUGAUCCAGCCUGUGCCAAAACCCGCGGAGAAGACUGCCCUGGCGCCCUGCGUCAUCUCCUCGCCCAUGCUGAGCGCCGGGCCCGAGGACCUGGAGCCUCCGCUCAAAAGGAGGUGCCUCCGAAUUAGAAAUCAGAAUAAGUAAAAGGUUUGUAUGUCCACCCAGGCCAUCCUCUCCACGAGCCAGCGCACCUCUCCGUAGCUUUUCGGUGUUGGUUUUGUUUUUCCACAAGGUGAAGGUGAGAGAGAUUGAAUUGAUAAUCAUGAUUUAAUCUUACACGUUUUACAAUACACCUUGCGUGGUCACUGUCAUCAUUUUGAUCCAACAUCAUUCCCAUUUCACAGCUAACGAGAGUGGGUCACAGCAUGUAAGCGCCAUGCCCAAGGUCACUUUUUUAGUGCUGAAGCCCAGUCCUGAACCUAACUUGAACCACUAUCUCCUUAAUUACACUUUGUCGUUGUGCUCACCUCUGCAAUUCACCUUACUGAAAAAGAGGAAGACGUGUGGAGCAAGGUACUCAAGGCUGGUAAAUAUUCAGUCAUGAGGUUUAAAGGGCUUUGGUAAAAGGAACACACACUCACAG